rnacentral:rRNA from 1 species
UAGGGAAUCUUCCACAAUGGGCGCAAGCCUGAUGGAGCAACACCGCGUGAGUGAAGAAGGGUUUCGGCUCGUAAAGCUCUGUUGUUAAAGAAGAACACGUAUGAGAGUAACUGUUCAUACGUUGACUGUGUUUAACCUGAAAGUCACGGCUAACUACGUGCCAG